rnacentral:rRNA from 1 species
CAGUAGCCGCGGUAAUACGAAGGGUGCAAGCGUUACUCGGAAUUACUGGGCGUAAAGCGUGCGUAGGUGGUGGUUUAAGUCCGUUGUGAAAGCCCUGGGCUCAACCUGGGAAUUGCAGUGGAUACUGGAUCACUAGAGUGUGGUAGAGGAUAGUGGAAUUUCCGGUGUAGCAGUGAAAUGCGUAGAGAUCGGAAGGAACAUCUGUGGCGAAGGCGACUAUCUGGGCCAACACUGACACUGAGGCACGAAAGCGUGGGGAGCAAACAGGAUUAGAUACCCCCGUAGUCCCUGUCUCUUAUAC